GCCCUGUGAAGAAAUAGUCACAUGUCUUCUUCCUGUCCCAGCCCCAGAGCCUGAAAAGGCGAACCCACUGGGGCUGGCUAGGGAAAAAGAGGAAAAAUUGUUCCAGAAGUAACUGUCUGAGGGAU
rnacentral:snoRNA from 1 species